rnacentral:rRNA from 1 species
GAUUAACGCUAGCGGCAGGCAUAAUACAUGCAAGUUGAACGGCAGCACCGGUAGCAAUACUGGGUGGCGAGUGGCGCACGGGUGCGUAACACGUAUGCAACCUACCCUAUACAGGCGAAUAACCUUUAGAAAUGAGGGCUAAUACGCCGUAGUAUUACCGCUUGGCAUCUAUUUGUAAUUAAAGAUUUAUCGGUAUAGGAUGGGCAUGCGUCCCAUUAGUUAGUUGGUAAGGUAACGGCUUACCAAGACGGUGAUGGGUAGGGGAUCUGAGAGGACUUACCCCCAGACAGGGACCGGGACACGGACCAGACACCGACGGGAGGCAGAAGUAAGGAAUAUUGGGGAAUGGCCGCGAGGCUGACCCAGCCAUGCCGCGUGCAGGAAGACUGCCUUAUGGGUUGUAACCUGCUGUUAUACGGGAAUAAUAGAGUGUACGCGUACAUUUAUGAAAGUAUCGUAUGAAGAAGCAUCGGCUAACUACGUG